AACACAUGCAAGUCGAACGGAAAGGCCAGUGCUUGCACUGGUACUCGAGUGGCGAACGGGUGAGUAACACGUGGGUGAUCUGCCCUGCACUACGGGAUAAGCCUGGGAAACUGGGUCUAAUACCGGAUAGGACCACAUUUUGGAUGGUGUGGUGGAAAGUUUUUCGGUGUGGGAUGAGCUCGCGGCCUAUCAGCUUGUUGGUGGGGUAAUGGCCUACCAAGGCGUCGACGGGUAGCCGGCCUGAGAGGGUGUACGGCCACAUUGGGACUGAGAUACGGCCCAGACUCCUACGGGAGGCAGCAGUGGGGAAUAUUGCACAAUGGGCGCAAGCCUGAUGCAGCGACGCCGCGUGGGGGAUGACGGCCUUCGGGUUGUAAACUCCUUUCGCUAGGGACGAAGCGCAAGUGACGGUACCUGGAGAAGAAGCACCGGCUAACUACGUGCCAGCAGCCGCGGUAAUACGUAGGGUGCGAGCGUUGUCCGGAAUUACUGGGCGUAAAGAGCUCGUAGGUGGUUUGUCGCGUCGUUUGUGUAAGCCCGCAGCUUAACUGCGGGACUGCAGGCGAUACGGGCAUAACUUGAGUGCUGUAGGGGAGACUGGAAUUCCUGGUGUAGCGGUGGAAUGCGCAGAUAUCAGGAGGACACCGAUGGCGAAGGC
rnacentral:rRNA from 1 species